CCUACGGGAUGCAGCAGUGGGGAAUAUUGCACAAUGGGGGAAACCCUGAUGCAGCGACGCCGCGUGAGUGAAGAAGUAUUUCGGUAUGUAAAGCUCUAUCAGCAGGGAAGAAAAUGACGGUUCCUGAUUAAGAAGCCCCGGCUAACUACGUGCCAGCAGCCGCGGUAAUACGUAGGGGGCAAGCGUUAGCCGGAUUUACUGGGUGGAAAGGGAGCGUAGACGGCAGCACAAGUCUGGAGUGAAAUGCCGGGGCUUAACCCCGGAACUGCUUUGGAAACUGGGCAGCUAGAGUGCAGGAGAGGUAAGUGGAAGUCCUAGUGUAGCGGUGAAAUGCGUAGAUAUUAGGAGGAACACCAGUGGCGAAGGCGGCUUACUGGACUGUAACUGACGUUGAGGCUCGAAAGCGUGGGGAGCAAACAGGAUUAGAUACCCUGGUAGUC
rnacentral:rRNA from 1 species